rnacentral:rRNA from 1 species
AUACAGAGGGUGCGAGCGUUAAUCGGAAUUACUGGGCGUAAAGCGCGCGUAGGCGGCUGAUUAAGUCAGAUGUGAAAUCCCAGGGCUCAACCUUGGAACUGCAUCUGAUACUGGUCAGCUAGAAUUUAGGAGAGGGAAGUAGAAUUUCAGGUGUAGCGGUGAAGUGCAUAGAUAUCUGAAGGAAUACCAGUGGCGAAGGCGGCUUCCUGGCCUAAAACUGACGCUGAGGUGCGAAAGCGUGGGUAGCAAACGGGAUUAGAAACCCCAGUAGUCC